rnacentral:misc_RNA from 1 species
UGAUUUUAUUUUUUAUGUUUUUAGAUGUUCAUGUUUUUGAAUGUUUUAUUCAAAUAAUAUAAAAAAUAAAAUAUAUAUUGACAUGGAUUAAACAAAGAUAUAUAUUAUUCUAUGUUGUAUAAACAAAUUGGCAAAAUAGAGAUGGAAGAUAAAAAUAUGGUCAAAGUAAUAAGAGUCUAUGGUGAAUGCCUAGGAGCUUUAAGGCGAAGAAGGUCGUGGUAAGCUGCGAAAAGCUUGGGGGAGAAGCAAACAUUUAUUGAUCCCAAGAUUACCGAAUGGAGUAAUCCAGCUAGCAAGAUGCUAGCUAUCUAUUAUUUAAAUAAUAGAGGCGAUACCAGG